UGACCUCAGAUCUAGA
rnacentral:rRNA from 1 species